UCAUCAUUGCUUUACUCUCUUCGCUUCUGUUGUUCCAAUUUUUAUCAGUCAACGCGGUAGCACAGACCGUCCCGUGUGUCCGGAUACGUUGCAAGAAGUCGACUUUAAGUAAGUUAUCUGUCAGUCAUCAAACAUCUACAUUUUCUCCGCGUCUGUCCGAGCAACACGUGAUCCUUCGGCGCACAGUUGAUUCUCACUGAAGCCAUCUGGCUGUCUGCCAGUGGAGAGAUUUUCAUCUUACAGCAAAGAUCUGUGACUGGGCUGAAAAUAAGAGCUCCCUUUGGCAGGCACUGCUGCUGCCACCCAGUGGGAGCCAUGAAAAUAAGCACUGAGCAGAGCCUGCAGCCUUUGGCCAAGCCUGCAGUGGGUUUACUGACCAGGACCAUCCCAGGAGCUGCAUUGUGUCUCUGUUGCAGCAGGAUGUUCUCCAUUCCACAGCUGUGCUUUCCUGUUGACAUCUCGUACCUCACCAGGCGGAAUGAAUCCAUCUGGCACUAGAUUAAAAAAAAAACUGUUACUGAGUUUCCAGAAAUGUAUACUGUACAACAGCCUGCAGACUGUAGUGUCUUUCACUGACACUUUGUUUUUUUUAGCCUAUGCGAAGCUAUGUUGUCUUUGUAAAAUGUAAAUUAGUAUUACAAAGCAUUCCUGCACAUAUAGUGUACUGUACAUGCUGAUUAUGUAAACUAGAUGUUAUUUAACUACAGUGACACAACAAACUUGCACUGUAACUGGUGCUUGGCUUUGUAUACAUACAGUACAUCAUAGCCAAAAUAAGAGACUUUUUUCUUUUUUCAUUAUAUUUCUGUCUGUAUAUAAUUCACACCUGAGUACAGGGCAUGGUUCUGUGCCUGUUCCUCCUCCUGUAAAGCUGCUCCAACACAUCCUGGUCAGGCACUGCCUGUGUGUGGAUGGGCUGGCACAGCAGAGUCACACACACCACCAGGAUUUGUUGACUGUGUGGAGGCUGGCCCAUAAUGAAGGCAUCGUACUCCAGGUCUGUUACCACUGGCAUCAGCGUAGCGCUGCAGCAGCACCGCCUGCGUCCACCCUCCCCCAGCAGGGCAGCUCUCAGCAGAGGAGGGCACACUGUGAGGGGGUUGGAGGGAGUGAAGGAUGGCAGGGCUGGAUAGCGGAUGACAGCAGAGGGCUGCAAAUCUGGACUGUUUGGAAUAAUCACUGACCUGGCAGGGUGGGGGUGACAGUGAAUCAGUCACUGUAAAUAUACUCUUGCUCUUAUAAAACUGCAGUAAAUGUUAUUUUCUACACAAAGACACUUGAAUGACUUUAUAAUGGUCAUGCCUGUCAGUAAUACAAGUGGGUCUUACUCAAGUUUGAUGUUGCCAUGAAUUUGAAGAGGUCCUAUCUGUGUGACAUGGGUCUCCUCCUUUGUUCGCUUUUUUGGUGUCCUGGCAACAUACAGGUCAAAACAGGCCUUACAUAAUGCAGCAUACAUCUGUGCAAAGUCUAGCUGAGCUCAAGCACUUCAAACUGAUCAAUAAACAAAGUGUUUCUGUCACUAUUACAAAAUCAAUCACUGGCCUCCGUUUAAGGACAGACAGGAGGACACCUAUGCAUGUAAGCACUUCCUCGUUUACAUGCAUUUGCUUAUAAAUACUCAAAAACAUGGUUUCAACAGUGUAUAAAGUGUUAAGUGUUACAGUGUGUUUGAAGAUAAAAUGCCAUUUAAUCUCUCCACCAUGAACUAUGUACUCUAAACAUUUUAUAUUACAAGAGUAUUUCAGUGAUUUAGUAUUGUAGUUUGAUUAAAGGGGAUUCACAUGAGAAACAGGCUUGUUAAUGCAACUUAAUAGUGUCUUUCUCUUGAACCUGUCUACACGGUAAACACUCAUGUGGGGCUAAAGGAUUUGAGGGAAAUAUCUAAUAGCGUUUUUUCUGA